GUAGCGAAAUUCCUUGUCGGGUAAGUUCCGACCUGCACGAAUGGCGUAAUGAUGGCCAGGCUGUCUCCACCCGAGACUCAGUGAAAUUGAACUCGCUGUGAAGAUGCAGUGUACCCGCGGCAAGACGGAAAGACCCCGUGAACCUUUACUAUAGCUUGACACUGAACAUUGAGCCUUGAUGUGUAGGAUAGGUGGGAGGCUUUGAAGUGUGGACGCCAGUCUGCAUGGAGCCGACCUUGAAAUACCACCCUUUAAUGUUUGAUGUUCUAACGUGGACCCGUUACCCGGGUUGCGGACAGUGUCUGGUGGGUAGUUUGACUGGGGCGGUCUCCUCCUAAAGAGUAACGGAGGAGCACGAAGGUUGGCUAAUCCUGGUCGGACAUCAGGAGGUUAGUGCAAUGGCAUAAGCCAGCUUGACUGCGAGCGUGACGGCGCGAGCAGGUGCGAAAGCAGGUCAUAGUGAUCCGGUGGUUCUGAAUGGAAGGGCCAUCGCUCAACGGAUAAAAGGUACUCCGGGGAUAACAGGCUGAUACCGCCCAAGAGUUCAUAUCGACGGCGGUGUUUGGCACCUCGAUGUCGGCUCAUCACAUCCUGGGGCUGAAGUAGGUCCCAAGGGUAUGGCUGUUCGCCAUUUAAAGUGGUACGCGAGCUGGGUUUAGAACGUCGUGAGACAGUUCGGUCCCUAUCUGCCGUGGGCGCUGGAGAACUGAGGGGGGCUGCUCCUAGUACGAGAGGACCGGAGUGGACGCAUCACUGGUGUUCGGGUUGUCAUGCCAAUGGCACUGCCCGGUAGCUAAAUGCGGAAGAGAUAAGUGCUGAAAGCAUCUAAGCACGAAACUUGCCCCGAGAUGAGUUCUCCCUGAGACUUAGAGUCUCCUGAAGGAACGUUGAAGACGACGACGUUGAUAGGCCGGGUGUGUAAGCGCAGCGAUGCGUUGAGCUAACCGGUACUAAUGAACCGUGAGGCUUAACCUUACAACGCCGAAG
rnacentral:rRNA from 2 species